rnacentral:rRNA from 1 species
ACGGAAGGCAGCAGUGGGGAAUAUUGCACAAUGGGCGCAAGCCUGAUGCAGCGACGCCGCGUGAGUGAAGAAGUAUUUCGGUAUGUAAAGCUCUAUCAGCAGGGAAGAUAAUGACAGUACCUGACUAAGAAGCUCCGGCUAAAUACGUGCCAGCAGCCGCGGUAAUACGUAUGGAGCAAGCGUUAUCCGGAUUUACUGGGUGUAAAGGGAGCGUAGGUGGUGUGGCAAGUCAGAUGUGAAAGCCCGGGGCUUAACCUCGGGACUGCAUUUGAAACUGCCAUACUAGAGUGCAGGAGAGGUAAGUGGAAUUCCUAGUGUAGCGGUGAAAUGCGUAGAUAUUAGGAGGAACACCAGUGGCGAAGGCGGCUUACUGGACGAUAACUGACGUUGAGGCUCGAAAGCGUGGGGAGCAAACAGGAUUAGAUACCCUGGUA